rnacentral:rRNA from 1 species
UACGGAGGGUGCAAGCGUUGUCCGGAUUUAUUGGGUUUAAAGGGUGCGUAGGCGGCCUAAUAAGUCAGUGGUGAAAGCCUCCAGCUUAACUGGAGAACUGCCAUUGAUACUGUUAGGCUUGAGUAUACUUGAGGUAGGCGGAAUUGACAGUGUAGCGGUGAAAUGCAUAGAUAUUGUCAAGAACACCAAUUGCGAAGGCAGCUUACUAAAAUUAUAAACUGACGCUGAGGCACGAA